UUGAAAUUUGUAUGAAAACCCUUAUAGGUUUUUUUCUUCAGUGGUUGGUGGCAAAUAUCCUUGCCAACUCCUCAGAAAAUCCACAUUUGUUUUUUUUCUCUCACUGACAUUAAGCAUGGCUUGCAGAGAAUGAAAGAAUUGCAAGCAAGUGAGCAAUCAUCUGAUCAGAUGCUUCGAUUGACUGUAGAAAUCGGAGGAUGUUCGGGGUUUCAAUACGUGUUUGAUUUGAAUGACAAAACAAACCCAGAUGACAGAGUUUUUGUGAGGAAGGGUAAAGUUGGUAGUUGAUGAUAUUUCCUAUGAUUUUGUAAAAGGAUUGAACCGACUGACACUCUCACUAGUCACUGCAAUCUACCGAAAAUUCCAGUUUUGUAUUGCUCAACCUGUUUUCUUUCACCUUCUAAUACUAUAAUUUCAGCUUAUUUUCACAAAAUUUAAAACAUAAAAUAUCGUUACUUUCCCCCUUCCCAUCAUUAACCCUAAUUUGUUUGUGAAAAUGCCUGAAUAAGAACCUGCUUUCAUUUGAGAAUUAAGAUCCUAAAGCUAGAACUAAGAGAUAUCCAUUGUUUUCUUAUUCUUUGUUUGUUCGUUAAUUAACACUUGCGGUAAUAUGACAAUUAUUGAACCGAAACCAUAAGGAUUUGUUUGUUUUUUCUUUGAUUUGAUGUAUCUAAUUGAAGCCGCGGUUCAAUGCCUCUUAUUUUGUCUCACCAUGAUAAGAGUUAUGCCUAUUAUCAAAAUCUACUACAAAUACUUUACUCUCAACAGAAACUAGAAUGCAUGGAAUCUGUUAUAAAUUAGAAUGCCUAUUAUAAACUAGAAUGCCUAUUAUAAAUUUUGGUUUCAGGAAAUGGAAUCUAUCUUUGGUGAACCUCCUCCAGACGGACUAGCCAAUUCUGGAAAUAGAAGCUGCAUGGCUCAAGAUGCCCACCAUAACUCUCAUGUUAUUUUGGUACUUUGCUUAAAGAAUUUAUUGUUUGAAGAAACUUAGUUUGGAACAAUCUAAUUCUAGCCAGCAAGGAAUGGCAGCCUCCAUUAAGAGUUUGCUUGCAGAAAAAGAAGAAUUGGCAAUGCAACUUACUAAUUCACUAUUGGAAAUAGAGGAAGAAAAGGCAGAAAAGGCAAUACAGUGUGCUAGAGAGAAGGCUUCAAUUGAAGCUAUUGAAGAGAAGAAAGUUAUACAAUUCUCAGAUAACAUCAUUAUCAGAAAAAUUGUCUGAGCAGGGAUGAUGAAGAUGAUUCUGUUGCCAAGAUGAAGGCAGCUGAGGAAGCCUUGGAAGCAAAACAAAAAGUAACAAAUAGCUUGUCUGCUACCUGUUUUUUUUUUAUCAUGUUUUAUAAUUUUGUGACAAAUUGUUCUUGGUACUCUGAAGAUAUUUAUGCAAAAUUACCCUAUGAUUCUAUUGUAUUUAUACUGCAUGGCUGCACCAUGUAUUUCUUAACUAGUUUGAUAAAUUUUAUGUGUGGUGUUUAAUUUUUCGUUA